UGUGGGUGGCAGAGCAGGGGUGGGGUGUCCAGGGAUAUGGGAGCUGCUUGGAAAUGUCUUUUUCUUCUUAUAUUUAUCAAGCCCUAUAAUAUGCCAAGCACAGUACUUUGCACGCAUUACCUUGCCCAUGCUCACCACAGCCCUGAGAGGUAGAUCCCAUUAUUAUCACUCUCAUCCCCAUUUUACAGGUAAAGAAACUGACGGUCCAAGAGGUUGACUGAUCUGUUCAGAGUCACAUGGCUUAUGAGGACUCAAGCAGGCAUUUCUGCAGAGGUCUGAUGUGCACAGCACUGUGCUGGGCCCUAGGGAUAAGAUGCUGGGAGACAGAUGCAGCAUGGCUGGUGUGUUCCCAGGAACCUGGAAGGAGCUAUGGGAGCCAGGAGUCAGGAUAUCAGGGAAACCACCCAGACUGUGUGCUCUCUCACUCUCCUAAAGGAAGACAAUGGCAAAUGGCAGUUGUAGCAAAGCACCACCAACAGCCAGCUUGAUGCCCAGGAGAGAAUGCUGUGCCAUCUCCUCAUGGUUUCUAGUGCUCUACAAAUUCAGAGAAACUUUUCUUAUAAUUAACUAUAGAAACAAUGAGACUGGGCAACAUGGCAAGACUCCGUGUCUACAAAACCUACAAAAAUUGGCCGGGUGUGGUGGCUCACACCUGUAAUCCUGCACUUUGGGAGACCAAGGCAGACGGAUCACGAG